rnacentral:rRNA from 1 species
AUUGAACGCUGGCGGCAUGCCUUACACAUGCAAGUCGAACGGCAGCACGGGUGCUUGCACCUGGUGGCGAGUGGCGAACGGGUGAGUAAUACAUCGGAACGUACCUUAUCGUGGGGGAUAACGCAGCGAAAGCUGUGCUAAUACCGCAUACGCCCUGAGGGGGAAAGCGGGGGAUCGAAAGACCUCGCGCGACUAGAGCGGCCGAUGCCUGAUUAGCUUGUUGGUGGGGUAAAAGCCCACCAAGGCGACGAUCAGUAGCUGGUCUGAGAGGACGAGCAGCCACACUGGGACUGAGACACGGCCCAGACUCCUACGGGAGGCAGCAGUGGAGAAUUUUGGACAAUGGGGGCAACCCUGAUCCAGCAAUGCCGCGUGAGUGAAGAAGGCCUUCGGGUUGUAAAGCUCUUUUGUCAGGGAAGAAACACCGGCUCUAACACAGUCCGGGAAUGACGGUACCUGAAGAAUAAGCACCGGCUAACUACGUGCCAGCCGCCGCAGUAA